rnacentral:rRNA from 1 species
AUUGAACGCUGGCGGAAUGCUUUACACAUGCAAGUCGAACGGUAGAGGGGGCAACCCCUCGAGAGUGGCGAACGGGUGAGUAAUAUAUCGGAACGUGCCCAGUCGUGGGGGAUAACGUAGCGAAAGUUACGCUAAUACCGCAUACGAUCUAAGGAUGAAAGCGGGGGAUCGCAAGCCCUCGCGCGAUUGGAGCGGCCGAUAUCAGACUAGGUAGUUGGUGGGGUAAAGGCUCACCAAGCCAACGAUCUGUAGCUGGUCUGAGAGGACGACCAGCCACACUGGAACUGAGACACGGUCCAGACUCCUACGGGAGGCAGCAGUGGGGAAUUUUGGACAAUGGACGCAAGUCUGAUCCAGCCAUUCCGCGUGCAGGAUGAAGGCCCUCGGGUUGUAAACUGCUUUUGUACGGAACGAAAAGGUCUCUCUUAAUACGGGGGACUCAUGACGGUACCGUAAGAAUAAGCACCGGCUAACUACGUGCCAGCCGCCGCCGUAA